UCAAACUUGGUCAUUUAGAGGAAGUAAAAGUCGUAACAAGGUAACCGUAGGUGAACCUGCGGUUGGAUCAUUACAAAGUUUUUUUGGAGUUUAUUCAAACUCCUUUAACACUUGUGCACUAAUUAUCUGGGUGUUCUUUAUUCUUUUUCCUUGGAAAGAGAAAACCACCCAACCUUUUAUAAACACUAUUUCAAUUGUCUGAUACUUUAUAAUCUAAUUAUAAAAACAACUUUUGACAACGGAUCUCUUGGCUCUCGCAUCGAUGAAGAACGCAGC
rnacentral:misc_RNA from 1 species